AAAAAGCUACCGGGGAGCCAUUAAUGGCUGAGAGGAUCCAAGGGAUCGACCCGUGAACCUGAUCCGGGUAAUACCGGCGGAGGGAGAUAGCCAAUGGGAUUCU
rnacentral:ncRNA from 2 species